CACUAGUUCACCAACCAUAGUUUUCAAGUAAGUGUGGUGCCAAGGCAACAGAUUAUUUUUCUAGGAAACAGUAGCUGAUGUAUAAUACUUUCAUGCCAUGUGGCCUGAACCUGCCUCCCUUUUAUGAUGCUGGCAUAAGGAAAUUUUAUAGAUGUAUUUCAGUUCACUUGCAUUUUGAUUUAUAAUUCUUUUGAAUUCUUAACUUUUCAAAGUUAAAUUUUGAUAUGCUCAAAUUUGUAUACUAGUAGCAGCAUAUUAGAUUGGAAAUUUUGCACCACAUGGAUAAGCUCAUGAUAAGUUGUUACUGAUUAGCGAUAAAGGAAACAAGUCAUUAACUUGCCCCAGCCUUCCUUCUUCAUCAGAAGAUCACAUGAUAAGUUGCAUUGAUUUGUAGAAUAUUCUUAACAAACAGAAGCCACAAAAUACUAAUGCAUAAACUGAUUACAUGAAAAACUAAGGGGCACAGG
rnacentral:misc_RNA from 1 species